GCAAUGAUUCAUCCAUAGUAACAAACAAACAAAGCUUAUAUAUCUUGCAUAUUUGGAUUGCCGGUAAUUUCACGUAAUAUCAAUAACACUGUAAUUUGUAAUUUUGAUUAUGGUAGCAUAGGGUAAUUCUAUCCAACUCAGCACGAACAAUGUAAAUAUGCACAUAGCUGGUAGUAUUGCUUUUGAUUUUUCAGAGUCAAAGUCAAUAGUAACAUUAUUGACCUUAAUGAUUUAUCAAGCCCGCUCUACACUGCUAGUGCUUUGUGUGUUCAAACUUCCAACCUAGAAUCUCAAAUGUGAAUUGAAUGAACCCAACGCCCCCACUUAGUAAGACCCACUCCUACAACACCUAUAAAAAAAAACAUACACCAAUCAUCACAAGCAAAGCAAAACAGAAAAUGAGUGGAGGGAAGAAGAAAAACAUGGUUGUUUGGUUAUACAAAGUGAUAACAAUCACCGUUACAGUAGCAAGUGUGGCGUUAACACUAACAGAAGCUCAAAAGGAGGCAGAUUUCAAGUGCAGCUCAGAAAUCGCCACGUGUCGUAGUCUAACCGACUACAAAUCCCCUAACGUAACAACCCUGAAGGAAAUCGAAACCCUGUUCGGCGUGAAACACUUCCUUGACCUCCUAGGCGCUAACAACUUCCCAAGCAACACCAAAGACAACUUCAAAGUGGAAGCCGACCAAGUCGUUAAAGUUCCGUUUCCGUGUAAAUGCGGUAACGGAACAGGGACGUCGAACCAAAUUCCGCGUUACAAAGUAAAACCGGGUGACACGUUGGACGGAAUAGCGAGGAACCGUUUUGCGGGUUUGGUUAAGUAUCAACAGAUUCAAACCGCUAAUAAGAUCCCAGACGCUAAUAAUAUAACCGCUGGUGAAACGCUUUGGAUUCCUUUGCCGUGUAGCUGUGAUAAGGUGGAUGGGAGCAGUGUGAUACACUAUGCACACAUUGUGGAAGCAGAUAGUACUAUUCAAGCCAUUGCUCAACAAUACGGUACCAAUCAACAGACACUUCUGAAAAUCAACGGUAUUGAUGACCCCAAAUCCCUUCAAGCCGGUCAGCUUCUCGAUGUUCCCCUUCCAGUUUGUAACUCCAGUGUGACAAGUGAUUCAUUGGACUUCCCAUUGCUUGUACCAAAUGCUACUUAUGUCUACACUGCAAAUGAAUGUGUUCAAUGUAAAUGCGACUCUACUAGUAACAACAACUUUAUGUUACAGUGUGAGCCAUCUGAACUAAAACCCAUAAAUCGUUGGUCCGUUUGUCCGACAAUGGAAUGUUCGAAGAAUGUGUUAAUUGGUAACACUACAACAACAUCCACAGAUUCGUGUAAUAGCACGAUUUGUGAUUACGGUGGUUAUAACUCCCGCAAUAUCUCUAUGGUUAAUGCAACCCAAAACACAUGUGCUGGUUAGUUAGUUAGUUACAAACUGCCAAUUAUGUUUGUGGUUAUUAUUUUUUGACUGCUAAUGAUGUCUUUGAUUGUUUUCAGUGGCACCAAGCGGUUCAGAUUCGGGGGCAACUGGGAGCAGCUUGAGUGGCUCGGUUUGGAAUAAACUUCUUAUUCUCAUUCACUUUCUCCUCUUUUUUGUCUAUCUUUUGUAGUACAAUACCCUGCAUCCUUGUUCUAUUCCUUUUUAUGGAUUAGUAAUUUUCUUGUUCAGAUGGAUUGUUUCAGUGUUGUCAUUUGUGAGUAUUGACUCCACUAAACUUUUUUUAUGCUUUUUUUUGUUAUUUUUUAUACUAUUUGUAACAUAGCAUGUUUGGAAGAAUAAGAGUACUAUCUGAACUACAAGGAUGGCUAUCUUUUUUAAUA